rnacentral:tRNA from 1 species
GCUGGCUUAGCACAGUGGUAGUGCGCCUGACUACGAUGCGAUUUGCUUUUCGUUGAUAAAUCAGGAGGUCGAGGGUUCGAACCCCUUAGUCGGUU